rnacentral:rRNA from 1 species
GUUCCCAUACCGAACACAGUAGUUAAGCUCAGUAGCGCCAAAAGUAGUUGGAGGAUCGCCUCCUGCGAGGAUAGGACAUCGCGAUGC